rnacentral:misc_RNA from 1 species
CAAAAGAUCGCCAGAAAUUGUGGCAAGAAAUAGCCGACCGUCUGAAUUCCGAUGGAGUCGGCUCACAAAAAGAUCCGGAAAAAUGGCGAAAAACUUGGAGUGACUGGAAGGCAAACAUUAAAAGUAAAGCCUCACAAAUAAAAAAAUCAUCAUUUCAAACAGGAGUUGGGCCUUCAGUUAAUCAAAAAUUAACUGAAGUUGAAGAGAGAGUUUUAAAUUUAAUUGGUAUAACUGCUGUUUACGGAGAAUCCCAAAUUGAUGAGGCAGGAGUUCAGGUAAUAAAAAUCAUAUUGAAAUUAAAACAUGCUUAUUAAACUACAGUAAUUAUAGGAAUUGUAUGUAUUAUAGGAACCAAAUGGUGCACAAGAGUUGAGUGAAAGUGCACAAGACUUAUUAAACUGUAUGAUUGACAAUACUAUUUCUUGUGUACAAUCAAAUAAUUCUACUUGUAUAAAUGAAGAAUAUCCAUCUAAUCAAAAUACAUAUUUCGAACUGCCUCCAAAUGAUGAUUGCAAUCCAACUGAUUGUAACCCAACUGAUGGUCUACAUUUGAAUACUUCAUUAAGAAAUGUUAAC